AGAGGGUGAUCUAGCUGCAGCAUCUGUCACCUCAUUGACACCCAGGGUGACUCAGAUGGUCCAGCUGGCUAGGCAAGUAUCCCUUUCCUUCCCCACCACUCCGUGUACUUCACUCCCAAAACUCUGCCCUACGUCAAAGAGGACAACCUUUCCCAAAUAAAGGAGGGCUAUCCUCUGUCAAGGGUAUACGAGUAGCAGUGUUCUGCAUGUUAGAACUCUGAACAAGCUACAUUGCCAAAGAGAACUUAAAAAGGAAAAAAAAAUAUAAAAUUACUGCUAGGGUCUAAAAAUAAAAUCAACUCCAGUU
rnacentral:snRNA from 1 species